AGUAGACAGCUUUGCAGGCUGUUCUUGUGUUUGCAGUCCCUGUGUAUAGCCUUCUCAAAAUACAAACGGCAUAUUUUGAGGCGAGUGCUGACCUCACCUUGCAAAGCUCUCUGAAGUGUCUGAGCAGAGGGUCCACUCCUCCCCGGCAUACCUUUGCAGCAAUAUCCUGGCAGAUACUUUAUGUCAUGUUGCCAUGAACUGCAUUGUUCUGCCCCAAGCCCCAGGCUACUGGAAAAAAUGGUUGAAGACCUGAAAACUGUGACCCCUGUUGCCUAGCAACUGAGAAGCUCAGCCUCAACUCCGGGUGGGGGAGAUGAUGGAGAAAGGACAAUUGCUCUGAGCUUUCAGUCACCAUGUGAGAAGUCUGGCUACCCUGAGGCCAGCACAUGCAGAGACCACAUGGAGAGAUGAGAGGCAGAGAGAGCCGCCCAAGGAACUCCAGCUGUUCCAGCACCCAGCUGUUUGAAUCCUCCCAGCCCAGGCACUAAACGUGAAUGAAAAGCUCUCAAGACAACCUCAGCCCUCGGACCCAGCCACAGACUGAUUGCCACUGUAUGAGAGACCUCAGAUGAAAACUGUCAAGUGGAGCCCGGCUAGCUAACAGAUUUAUAAGCAAAAUAAGUGAUUGUUAUUGUUUCAAGCCACCAUUUUGAAGUGGCUUUUCUGCAGCAAUAGAUGCCUGGAGGAGUCCUAAUAAUAAAAAUUAAUCAGAUGGA